rnacentral:rRNA from 1 species
CCUACGGGCGGCAGCAGUGAGGAAUAUUGGUCAAUGGACGAGAGUCUGAACCAGCCAAGUAGCGUGAAGGAUGACUGCCCUAUGGGUUGUAAACUUCUUUUAUAUGGGAAUAAAACGUUCCACGUGUGGGAUUUUGUAUGUACCAUAUGAAUAAGGAUCGGCUAACUCCGUGCCAGCAGCCGCGGUAAUACGGAGGAUCCGAGCGUUAUCCGGAUUUAUUGGGGUUAAAGGGAGCGUAGGUGGAUUGUUAAGUCAGUUGUGAAAGUUUGCGGCUCAACCAUAAAAUUGCAGUUGAAACUGGCAGUCUUGAGUACAGUAGAGGUGGGCGGAAUUCGUGGUGUAGCGGUGAAAUGCUUAGAUAUCACGAAGAACUCCGAUUGCGAAGGCAGUUCACUGGACUGCAACUGACACUGAGGCUCGAAAGUGUGGGUAUCAAACAGGAUUAGAUACCCCUGUAGUC